CAGCCAGCAGAUGAUUGACAAGAGCUGCUGGCACUUUUGACUGUUGUUGUAACGUCUCAAAGUGACGGCUCAACAACAGGUCAUUUCCCAGGACGAGGCACAGGAGGAAGCAGCUUUGCUGUAACAUAAACAGGAUUAUUUUAAAUCAAAUUUCACAGCACUCUGAAGCAGUGCUAUGAAAGGCAGCUCUGCUUCAAAAGGGAGGGAGAACGAGAGCGAUAUUGAAAGAGUACGAGUGAAAAAUGUACUUUUAUCUCCGCGCAGGAAUAUAGAUGCGGCCCACUUUGCAAAUUGACUUCGAAGGCCGCAGUUCUGCAGUUCGCCCGCCCCUCACUUUGAGAAAUAUACAGCCGAAGUCCGAUUCUGCAAGGAUGCUUCGUGAUUUACGACAUGGAGGGAUGUGUUCCCAUCUGGGACUCCAGCCACUGCUGGACAGAAGAUUUACGGGUGCAAUGACACCACUGAUUACUUUCGGACGCCGAGGAGAAAUGGACACAGUUUGUUUUUCACCCCUUUCCGUCUUUAAGGCCUGGACUGAGUGUGGUUGAAUCCCAAGGCUUACAUUUGGGUCUCUGUCACCGAGUUUCGCUUAUGGACACACACAGGCUAACUUGGACGAGCGAUAGUCGAUAAAUCACAUACGCAGACUGAUGGAAAACCCAUACCGCUUCUCCAUCGACAAGAAACGCAGAGACAUUGUCGUGACCCCAGAAACCACACUUGCUCUAGGAGCCAUUCGACUCCAUCCUUCUCGUUUUGACAAAUUUGUGAGUCUUCCUGUGCGUUCUGAGGAGGCCAAACUGUGGACGCCCAGAGUUCAGCCAAACCCAAUACAGUCUGAAAACAAAUGCUAGAGUUCGACUGACCUCACACUGGACUAAAUGGCUUGAUAGCUUUGUAAAUAUGGCUUCUGACAAAUGAAUUUCCAUUUUUUCAUCUAACAACAACAAGAGCCCCAAAUCCAUUAAGCAAGAAAAAUGCAAAAUGAAAGACAAUGCUGCCUAACACUCUAACUCAGUCAAUAAAUCAGCCAGAAACAAUAAGUGGAAACCAUAAAUGCGGACUGGAUUGAAGUCAUUUUUCUUCACGUGGAAAUUCUCAAGACAUUUUCAAUUUCAUGCACAGCACAAAAACCAUACUAAAGACAUUUGUGUAAUAUAAGCAGGGAGGAACUCUUUUGAUGAUCGCGACAGGUCUGCGUUCCACCCAGCCCUGUGCAAACAAUGUGCCUGCCUGUCUGUCUGCCUGCCAUGCAUCCUCAAAGGGACAUGAAGUGUCUCAUAUACGUUUGACACAAAGAACGGGUUAUGUGACAUAAACCAGAUGGACUCUUCAGUAGGACCCGACGUUGUGGUUUCUCAAAGACCGCAGACUUGCUUGAUCGCUCCACCCAGGGCCUGCUUGCUGGCGACUCACUUUCAUUCGUCUUCUCGCAAGUUUGGGUGAAAAGCUUUUGGGAAGCUCUGGAAGAUUGAUGAUCCAUGGCCAAUUACUGGCUUAGCCCUUGAGUCUCACAAAGAAAGCAUGGGCUCGGACGUAAACACAUAGGACAAAGACGCAGAGGCUGGGAAUACCUGUGGCUCCAUAAUAUAUAAGUGUUUUCCCUAAAACGUUGUCUGGAAUAUUCAUCACUCUCAAGUGAAAUCAAAAUAUUCUUCAAAGAACAUAUUAAAAAUCUUCAGAUAUUAACAAUAUUUUGAUUUGAGAAUGAGACUUCAAGACUAUCUCUUAAAAUAAUCUCAUUCCACAGCCUGAUCCUGGUAUUUCUGGAUGGUGCCAUCCCGAGUGAAGAAAGGAGGGGCCGGCGCAUCUGACGCCCCGUGGUUGACGAGCACCAGGGCGCCAGGCGAAAGCUUGUUAGACAAACUCUGAC